rnacentral:piRNA from 1 species
GGCCAGAGUCGGCUUGUUCUCUUCUUGGA